rnacentral:rRNA from 1 species
AACGAACGCUGGCGGCGCGUCUUAAGCAUGCAAGUCGAACGGCAAGGAAGUGCUUGCACUUCCCUAGAGUGGCGGACUGGUGAGUAACACGUGGGUGACAUACCUUUUAGUUGGGGAUAGCUAUUAGAAAUAGUAGAUAAUACCGAAUGUGACCAUUGCUGUUAGAGGGCAAUGAGGAAAGGAGCUAAGGCUCCGCUAAAAGAAUGGCCCGCGGCCCAUUAGCUAGUUGGUGAGGUAACGGCCCACCAAGGCGAUGAUGGGUAUCCGGCCUGAGAGGGUGAUCGGACACAUUGGGACUGAGAUACGGCCCAGACUCCUACGGGAGGCAGCAGUGGGGAAUCUUCCGCAAUGGACGAAAGUCUGACGGAGCAACGCCGCGUGAGUGAUGAAGGUUUUCGGACUGUAAAACUCUGUUGUCAGGGACGAAGGUGCGAUCUGCGAAUAGUUGAUCGUAUUGACGGUACCUGACGAGGAAGCCACGGCUAACUACGUGCCAGCAGCCGCGGUAAUACGUAGGUGGCAAGCGUUGUCCGGAAUUAUUGGGCGUAAAGAGCAUGUAGGUGGGCUUUUAAGUCCGAUGUGAAAAUGCGGGGCUCAACCCCGUACGGCAUCGGAUACUGGAAGUCUUGAGUGCAGGAGAGGAAAGGGGAAUUCCCAGUGUAGCGGGUGAAAUGCGUAGAUAUUGGGAGGAACACCAGUGGCGAAGGCGCCUUUCUGGGACUGUGUCUGACACUGAGAUGCGAAAAGCUAGGGUAGCAAACGGGAUUAGAACCCCCGGUAGUCCUAGCCGUAAACGAUGGGUAAUAAAGUGUAGGGGGUAUCGACCCCUCCCUGUGCCGGAGUUAACGCAAUAAGUACCCCGCCUGGGGAAUACGGUCGCAAGACUGAAACUCAAAGGAAUUGACGGGGGCCCGCACAAGCGGUGGAGUAUGUGGUUUAAUUCGACGCAACGCGAAGAACCUUACCAAGGCUUGACAUUGAGUGAAAGAUCUAGAGAUAGAUUCCUCUCUUCGGAGACACGAAAACAGGUGGUGCAUGGCUGUCGUCAGCUCGUGUCGUGAGAUGUUGGGUUAAGUCCCGCAACGAGCGCAACCCCUAUCCUAUGUUACCAGCGGAUCAUGCCGGGGACUCAUUGGAGACUGCCAGGGAUAACCUGGAGGAAGGCGGGGAUGACGUCAAGUCAUCAUGCCCCUUAUGUCUUGGGCUACACACGUACUACAAUGGUCGGCAACAAAGGGCAGCGAUACCGCGAGGUGGAGCAAAUCCCAUAAACCCGACCCCAGUUCGGAUCGCAGGCUGCAACUCGCCUGCGUGAAGUUGGAAUCGCUAGUAAUCGCAGGUCAGCAUACUGCGGUGAAUACGUUCCCGGGCCUUGUACACACCGCCCGUCACACCACGAAAGUUGGUAACACCCGAAGCCGGUGAGAUAACCUUUUUAAGGAGUCAGCUGUCUAAGGUGGGGCCGAUGAUUGGGGUG